GUGGGAAAGAUCUCAAGCGAGAGGAUGGGCAUUUUAAUUGUGAAGGCUCCAAAGCGAAAGUCAAUCAUCCACGGACAAGGAUUCAGCUUGAGAUUGUGAUGGCAUGAUGAAACCAAUGAGAAGCUGCUCAUAGGGAUGCCAAGUCACUGUUGGAAGAACACCUUAAGGUGCGGGAUGACUCACCUAAUGCAUCUAUUUUGCCAGAUCAUCCCGAUGCAUCUGUCUUGCCGGCUGCUCUGAAAGCCGGCCUCGGCACAAAAUACAUGUUUCAAAUAAAGAGUCAAAGAAAAUCUUUUACAAAUAUGAAGUUCCAAAAUUAAAAUCAUACGUCAUACCAAUGGAUUUUUGUAAUUGUCAUCUUCGUAGGUUUUUUUUAAUUGUUUCUCUGCAGGCUCAUCGAACAACACGAAAACAAUAGUAGUAGUCUCAUUGAUCACAUGUUGCUGGACUUUAACUGUCGUUUAUAUUCGGGGGAUGUCAUUAGCCGUUCGGUCAAAAGUUCAGAUAACUACACCUUACCUAAAUGUGUGAAAUAGGGAAUUACCAUAUGACGGAAACAAUGAUGUAUUAUUUGAACAUUCUUGAUUCAUUAAAAAGGAAACUGUU